UACGUAGGGGGCAAGCGUUGUCCGGAAUCAUUGGGCGUAAAGAGCGUGUAGGCGGCCCGGUAAGUCCGCUGUGAAAGUCCAGGGCUCAACCCUGGGAUGCCGGUGGAUACUGUCGGGCUCGAGUCCGGAAGAGGAGUGUGGAAUUCCUGGUGUAGCGGUGAAAUGCGCAGAUAUCAGGAGGAACACCUAUGGCGAAGGCAGCUCUCUGGGACGGUACUGACGCUGAGACGCGAAAGCGUGGGGAGCGAACAGG
rnacentral:rRNA from 1 species